AUGUUUGUUCUCUUUACGCCGAGCUUUCGCUACGGUUUGUUUGACGAUAUCGACCGCAGUAAUACAGUGACAGAAAGUUUCGUACUUUUAGCAUGACGAUACACCUGGAGGAAGCAAUAUGGCUUUAUCUAUUUUGUGGAUAUUAUUAACAGUGUUCCUUUUAAAUAAUGACAAUGGCAUCGUUUGUGAGGAUGUUUUAGGAGAAAUUACUGAUGAUUUUGAUUUCGAUGGAAUUCCCGGUGCGACACACGAAUUUAAAGUCGAGAUAUUCAGUGGAGCAGAGGAUUGCUUCUAUCUAAAAAUAGCAAGCGGGGCUAAACUACAUGUGUCUUUUGAGGUUUUAACUCCACAUGAAAUUAUAGAUUUUUAUUUUAAAGAUCCGUAUAAUAUGAUUGUAGAAUCACUGUUAUAUAAAGGUAAUGGUGGAAUAGAACAUGAUAUCAAUGUGGAAGGUAUAUAUUCCAUAUGUUUAGACAACACUUUUACUAGUUAUACCUCUAAAAUUGUGUAUUUAUACAUUGUAACAUUUAUACCUGAAGAGUGGGCGAAAUACGUCAAUGAAAUCGGCGAACUUCAUGGUUUAGCUGAAAAUUAUACGGAACUUUUAAGUGAUGUCCAGCUAUCUAUAACAGAGAUGAAAAGAUUACAAGCCCAGAGUCGUUUUAAUGUAGUGAAGGACUGGUAUCUUAUUAAAUCAAACAAUGAAUACAUAAAAACUUGGUCUAUUGCUCAAAGUAUUAUUAUUGUAGCAACUUCGUUAUUUACAGUGUUUUUUGUGCGAAGGCUUUUUAAAACAGAGGCGGUAACACCGACUAGUAAACCACGUGCCUAAUUAUAAGUUCAAUAAAUAAAUAAUUAUUUUGCAUAA